GCGUUAUCCGGAAUUAUUGGGCGUAAAGCGUCCGCAGGUGGCACUUCAAGUCUGUCGUCAAAGACUGGGGCUUAACCCUGGAAAGGCGGUGGAAACUGAAGCGCUAGAGUGUGGUAGGGGUAGAGGGAAUUCCCGGUGGAGCGGUGAAAUGUGUUGAUAUUGGAAGGAACACCGGAGGCGAAAGCGGUGCACUGGGGUUGGUCUGACGCUGAGGCACGAAAGCCAGGGGAGCGAACGGG
rnacentral:rRNA from 1 species